CUUCCACUCAUUUUCAGUUUGGAGCUGGAGAAUGCCUCUUCAUUGUGGCUGAAUGUCCCUGUUGAAGAGAAACAGAAUCCAUGUUAGAACACACAGACAAGCUACCUCCCCCUGGUGAGGUUUGCUUCACCUCCGUAUGGCCAGACUCAGUAAGCUUGUCCUGGGGUUCUCCAGAGGGUCUGGAUGGGCCCCAGAAAUUUAGGGUCAUCUGGGAAG